rfam:Candidatus Thrbacteria bacterium RIFCSPLOWO2_01_FTLL_53_9 rifcsplowo2_01_scaffold_20418, whole genome shotgun sequence.
GUAGGAGCGCCGGACCGCGGCCGUAUCUCUCCAGAGAGAGACACGGAGGAAAGUCCGAACACCACAAAAAUGGAUGUUGCUAACGGCAACCGGGUAUAACACUCGAGCACAUGGAAUUCCAUGCUCGAAUGGAAGCCUAGGGAAAGUGCCACAGAGACUAUACUAUCCGCUCUCGAGCGGAGAAAUGUGAAAAGUGACGAGAUGUCUUCAAGGCUACUCGUCUCGCGCCCUGGUGACAGGUGCGUGUGGUAAACCCAUCCUGGUGCAAACGCAAAUUUGGUAGCGCGCAUGCGACGUCCGCAAAGACGUUGCUCAGGCAACGAGCGAUCGUUGUCGCAGAUAGAUCGCGGUCACGCGAACGCUUGCGCUCGCGAACAGAAUUCGGCUUAUAGGCGCCGUGCUCAC